UGUUGAUUUUUGGCGUCCUUCUAUUAUUUAUGUUGGCGUCAUUGUUCAGAUUUGGAGUACAAUCUGUUCAAUUUCACAUAUAAAUACAGAAUUAUUGUAUUUGUAAACAAAAUGGGUGAUGACUGGGAUGAUGGAGCACCAGCUACUACAAUUUCUGUUAGUUGCUCAUAUAGCUGCUUAGGGUGGACGAAAAUUUGCAGAAGUUUUAAAGCGGUAGAAGCAAAAGAUUAUUGGGGCUCUGGAGCAGCUACAACUAAUGAUUCUGAUAGUGGCUGGAAUGAUGCUCCAUCUGAUAACUUUAAUAAUAAGUCACAAUAACCAAGGUAGUAGAGGAGGUCGUGGAGGUAGAGGAGGACGUGGAGGUAGAGGAGGACAUGGAGGUAGCAUGUGGGGCGUAAGCCUGGCGGGUCGUCUACCGGUGUCAGCGGCGCCACUACCAUGGGAGCGGUGGAGCUUUGCAAUAGUGGC